rnacentral:rRNA from 1 species
CACGCCGCGUGAGUGAAGAAGGUUUUCGGAUCGUAAAACUCUGUUGUCAGAGAAGAACAAGUCGGAGAGUAACUGCUCCGGCCUUGACGGUAUCUGACCAGAAAGCCACGGCUAACUACGUGCCAGCAGCCGCGGUAAUACGUAGGUGGCAAGCGUUGUCCGGAUUUAUUGGGCGUAAAGCGAGCGCAGGCGGUUCCUUAAGUCUGAUGUGAAAGCCCACGGCUCAACCGUGGAAGGUCAUUGGAAACUGGGGAACUUGAGUGCAGAAGAGGAGAGUGGAAUUCCAUGUGUAGCGGUGAAAUGCGUAAAUAUAUGGAGGAACACCAGUGGCGAAGGCGACUCUCUGGUCUGUAACUGACGCUGAGGCUCGAAAGCGUGCGGAGCAAACAGGAUUAGAUACCCUGGUAAUCCACGCCGUAAACGAUGACUGCUAAAUGUUGGAAGCUUUCCGACCUUCAAAGGAGNGC